UCAAGCCAGUGAUGAUAAAAGUUAUCCCUGUCUGAAAAUUAAAAACUUUGUGGAGUUAUGGUAAUCUGAGGCUUGG